rnacentral:rRNA from 1 species
UGGGGAAUAUUGCGCAAUGGGCGAAAGCCUGACGCAGCGACGCCGCGUGAGGGAUGAAGGUUUUCGGAUCGUAAACCUCUGUCAGAAGGGAAGAAACCGCACUGUGCUAAUCAGCAGUGCCUUGACGGUACCUUCAAAGGAAGCACCGGCUAACUCCGUGCCAGCAGCCGCGGUAAUACGGAGGGUGCAAGCGUUAAUCGGAAUUACUGGGCGUAAAGCGCACGUAGGCUGCUUUGUAAGUCAGGGGUGAAAUCCCACGGCUCAACCGUGGAACUGCCUUUGGUACUGCUUAGCUUGAAUCCGGGAGAGGGGGGCGGAAUUCCAGGUGUAGGAGUGAAAUCCGGAGAUAUCUGGAGGAACAACAGUGGCGAAGGCGGCCACCUGGACCGGUAUUGACGCUGAGGUGCGAAAGCGUGGGGGGCAAACAGG